rnacentral:rRNA from 1 species
AUGCGAAUCUCGAAAGCCUGUCUCAGUUCGGAUUGGAGGCUGAGACCCGCCUCCAUGAAGUUGGAUUCGCUAGUAAUCGCGCAUCAGUCAUGGCGCGGUGAAUACGUUCCCGGGCCUUGUACACACCGCCCGUCAAGCCAUGGGAGCCGGGGGUGCCUGAAGUUCGUGACCGCAAGGAUCGACCUAGGGCAAAACCGGUGACUGGGGCUAAGUCGUAACAAGGUAUC